CCUCGGGUGGCAGCAGUGGGGAAUAUUGGACAAUGGGCGAAAGCCUGAUCCAGCCAUGCCGCGUGUGUGAAGAAGGCCUUCGGGUUGUAAAGCACUUUCAGUGGGGAAGAAAGCCUUGGGGCUAAUACCCUCGAGGAAGGACAUCACCCACAGAAGAAGCACCGGCUAACUCCGUGCCAGCAGCCGCGGUAAUACGGAGGGUGCGAGCGUUAAUCGGAAUUACUGGGCGUAAAGCGCGCGUAGGCGGUCUGAUAAGCCGGUGUGAAAGCCCCGGGCUCAACCUGGGAACGGCAUCCGGAACUGUCAGGCUAGAGUGCAGGAGAGGAAGGUAGAAUUCCCGGUGUAGCGGUGAAAUGCGUAGAGAUCGGGAGGAAUACCAGUGGCGAAGGCGGCCUUCUGGACUGACACUGACGCUGAGGUGCGAAAGCGUGGGUAGCAAACAGGAUUAGAUACCCUUGUAGU
rnacentral:rRNA from 1 species